rnacentral:lncRNA from 1 species
AUGCAGGUAUUGUUUAAUAAGGACUUUGGAGAAGGUUUCAGUAUGAAGUCUCCUGGUCAGGAAGAAAGAAGAAUGUUUUUGGAGGACUUAAUCACGAGUGGAGCUGCUGCUGAACCUCACUUGCAACCAGCAAGCAGGCUGGGCAGACAUGGGAAGCACUGGCUGCAGCAGCAGCAGCUGAGCUCUGUGUGCCAGAGGAAGGAACGCGGCGUCUGGAGGAGCAGGAGGAGGAGAGCCUGCGUGACUCUGCGUGUUCUGCAGGGCCGUUCCUCACAGACUGCCACUGACAGACGUUGGGGCACUGCAGAGCCUGUUGGUGCGGAGGAGGUCCUGAUGAUGGCACAGGCAUUAAACAGCCCAGAACUCGUCGCUGGGGAGAGGCUGCGCAUUGCACCGUGAAGGGAGAGAUGCAGGAGGGGUUUGAACAGCGUUGUGCAGGAAUGGAUAACUGGCUGCGGCCCUUCAAAGUGCACUGUGGAUGGGCGGCGCGAUGACAGCCCAAGGAUGGCAGCAGGAGAUGCAGCACAGCCCUCUCCAGCAGCAAGGUGCAUUGGUUUGUCUUGCUUAUUCUUGAAGUAGAAGGUGUGUUUAGCUUCCACAGUCAGUGGCUUGAUAGCAUGUUUAGAAGGCUUUGGGGCCCU